UGUUCUGUUCUGAUGUUACCCCUUGUGUUCUUUUGUGAAGUGUAUUUCAGCUCAUCAUUCAUUUGGCUGAAGGGAAGCUGUUCCAAUGGCCUCAGAAAAGCAAAGUGAGGAUACAAAGCACCUGUCUGAGCUCCCUGCAGCUCCUCUUCUGAGUGGCAGAACAUUUCAAUGGGGAGCUAUACUUGCUGCAGUGAAAGAUCAGCUCCCAUCUCUGGACUCUGAUGACUCCACACCUGACUGUGACAGUGAUGGGGAGCUUUUCAUCUUCCAGCGGGAACAGCCAAACUUAAUUCCUGACCUGUCAGAGGACCUGAUGGAGUUUUCCCUGGAAGACUCAAACAUGCAGCAAACUCAGGGAACAGAAAGCCAUCCAUGGGAGAUCUGUAAUGGAGAUCGAGAAAGCUUUGGGUUUCAGAAAAAAACAGAUGGUGCCCAAGUCAUUGCAAAAGAUGAUGUACAAGUGAUUAAAGUUGAUACUCUCAGUCUUCCCAGCUAUACUGAAGAAAUGCCAAACAAAAAGGCAGCUGUUGGUGAAGAGUCUCUUGCAGAUUCCACAGAUUGCCUUAAAGGGGAAGAACUGGACAGGACACAGGUGAGGGAAAGACAGACCUCUUGGCUUAAUAAAACAUUGUCUGUGGAGGACUUGAUCAACUGGAAAGAGGGAAGAAAACUGACAGAGACAAAAAUACUCUCCAAAAUAAUCCUGGAGCCAUCACGAGGCCACUCAGAGCCAGGUGUCAAGCCUUCUUCCCAUGGUGUUAGCAACAGUCUAGAAAAAACUGAUAAGGAAGAAAACUCCUCAGAUCAUCUUCAAGGAUCAACCCAUCUGUCACUGCAGGUGCCUUCUGUGAAAAUGGAAGAUGGACCCAAAGCUCUGUUUGAGGUGGUAGGGCUGCAGCAGGCCUGGGGAGAGAGUGGCUUGGCCCUACAUGCUUGUCUAACAGCAGCAGUUGAGUCUUCAGCCCAGAACAGCACUGAGAUCCAGAAGAUAAAAGUGAGUAGCAGUGUUUACACUUGCUAGUCAUACACA
rnacentral:lncRNA from 14 species